rnacentral:rRNA from 1 species
CGCGUGGGAACGUGCCCUUUGCUACGGAAUAGCACCGGGAAACUGGUGGUAAUGCCGUAUGUGCCCUUUGGGGGAAAGAUUUAUCGGCAAGGGAUCGGCCCGCGUUGGAUUAGGUAGUUGGUGGGGUAAUGGCUCACCAAGCCGACGAUCCAUAGCUGGUUUGAGAGGAUGAUCAGCAACACUGGGACUGAGACACGGCCCAG